AACACAUGCAAGUCGAGCGGUAACAGGUGUAGCAAUACAUGCUGACGAGCGGCGAACGGGUGAGUAAUGCUUCGGAAUCUGCCCAAUGGUGGGGAAUAACCAGCCGAAAGGUUGGCUAAUACCGCAUAAGCCCUACGGGGGAAAGCAGGGGAUCGCAAGACCUUGCGCCGAUGGAUGAGCCGAAGUCGGAUUAGCUAGUUGGUAGGGUAACGGCCUACCAAGGCGACGAUCCGUAGCUGGUCUGAGAGGACGACCAGCCACACUGGGACUGAGACACGGCCCAGACUCCUACGGGAGGCAGCAGUGGGGAAUAUUGGACAAUGGGGGAAACCCUGAUCCAGCGACGCCGCGUGUGUGAAGAAGGCCUGCGGGUUGUAAAGCACUUUUAGUGGGGAUGAAAAGCUCAGGGCUAACACCUCUGGGUCUUGACCUAACCCACAGAAAAAGCACCGGCUAACUCUGUGCCAGCAGCCGCGGUAAUACAGAGGGUGCGAGCGUUAAUCGGAAUUACUGGGCGUAAAGCGUGCGUAGACGGUUACGUAAGUCGGGUGUGAAAGCCCCGGGCUCAACCUGGGAAUGGCAUUCGAGACUG
rnacentral:rRNA from 1 species